UACCUCCCCUCGUUGCGUCGUCGUCCCUCCCCGAACCUACGGCGGGGUAACUUUACCGUUUAACGGGAAACGGACUGGGUAACGGUAACGUACGAAACGACGACUAGGUAGUAGUCGGCCGCGUCCGACGGAAGUAACGUAACCUAGUCGGACGGACGAGACCGCCCCUGGGGCCCAAUACUGACGCUCAUGCACGAAAGCGUGGGGAGCAAACAGGAUUAGAUACCCUGGUAGUCCACGCCCUAAACGAUGUCAACUAGUUGUUGGGGAUUCAUUUCCUUAGUAACGUAGCUAACGCGUGAAGUUGACCGCCGUGGGGAGUACCGGUCCCAAGAAUUAAAACUCAAAGGGAUUGACGGGGACCCGCACAAGCGGUGGAUGAUGUGGAUUAAUUCGAUGCAACGC
rnacentral:rRNA from 1 species